rnacentral:rRNA from 1 species
ACGCGAAGAACCUUACCAUGCAUCGGCCCGACAUCGGUUUCGUGUUGUGCGGCAGGGGCGCGGCGCGCGCGCAACUCGAGGCAAUGGCCGAGGGUCUGCACAACGUCGUCAUCCUCGAUCUGCAGUUGACGGAGCAGUUCGGGGACGGGUUGAUGGCUGCGGCGGACAUCCACUUGCUGCCGCAAUGCGCGGAAAUCCAGGAUCUGGUGCUGCCGUCGAAAAUAGGCGCGAUGCUCGCGUCGGGCCGCCC